AUUGAACGCUGGCGGAAUGCUUUACACAUGCAAGUCGAACGGCAGCACGGGGGCAACCCUGGUGGCAAGUGGCGAACGGGUGAGUAAUACAUCGGAACGUGCCCGGUCGUGGGGGAUAACGUAGCGAAAGUUACGCUAAUACCGCAUACGAUCUGAGGAUGAAAGCGGGGGACCUUCGGGCCUCGCGCGAUCGGAGCGGCCGAUGUCAGAUUAGGUAGUUGGUGGGGUAAAGGCCUACCAAGCCGACGAUCUGUAGCUGGUCUGGGAGGACGACCAGCCACACUGGGACUGAGACACGGCCCAGACUCCUACGGGAGGCAGCAGUGGGGAAUUUUGGACAAUGGGCGCAAGCCUGAUCCAGCCAUUCCGCGUGCAGGACGAAGGCCUUCGGGUUGUAAACUGCUUUUGUAUGGAACGAAAAGGCUCUGGCUAAUACCUGGGGCUCAUGACGGUACCGUAAGAAUAAGCACCGGCUAACUACGUG
rnacentral:rRNA from 1 species